UACCCUUUUGCUGUAGAAUUAUAUAAUGACAUGUUUGAUAGAGGUUUUACACCAGAUAAAUAUAGUUUUGUUGGAUGACUAAAUUGGCUCUGAGGACCUUUUUGAUGUGGCUGCUUCAGUUGGCUGAGAUUCAUCUGUUGCUACAGUUACAACAAGGAGGGGAUGAGGAUUCGAACCCUCUUUCUCCUAAUAAUGGAGAGCAGUAUAUGUCACUAAGCUACAAAUCUCUUGGCAAGCAUCAUGAAGAUGGAUGCUGCUAUUGAAGGAUGAGCUUGCAAGGAGGGUUGAGCUUUUUCCAGGAUAAAUCUUUCAAACACUGGCUUGAUGGAGAUGGUAGAAGUACCUCAGCAAAGUGCUCUAGUUAUGAUGGAGGAAGAGUCUCCUCAAGUUCUGCCAAGUUUGAGCUAAAUAAUUGAAGGAUGCUUCUCAGAUUUGCUCAACAAGGACUGAAGUUCACCAUUACCAUGUACUGCUAGGUGGAAAUGGUACAGCUUCUUCUUCCUCUGAAUCACUUCAACUAUUGUUCUUGAUCACUAGCAAUAUUUUGAUGAGUUUUUAUCCAGUCACCUUUUUAUUUCACUGCAUUAAUUGUUUAUUUUGAAUUCUUGGAAAUAUGAAGA